rnacentral:rRNA from 1 species
UGCAACCUGAGCUCAGGCGUGACUACC